UGUUUUAUACUGUCUGUUUACAUUAGAAAAUGUUUAUGUCAUAGUGAAUAUAGAUAAGGAACUACUUGCUUAGGGAAUUUUGCAUGAUUAGGGAAUUAAGCAUGAUGCAUUAAUUGUUUAUAAAGACAUGUCUCUAUAAUUCUGUUUCUAAAUCUGAGUGUAUUCAUAGCAUCGAUUCACUCCUUUCACAAAUGCUUUCAAAUGCCUAUCAAAUACCAGAUGCUGAUAAGAACUGUCUAAUGCAGACAAGCAAAGAUCUUGCUUUAGGAGGAGUUUAAAGGUGGACAGAGCUGAUGUCUUACAAACAAUUAGAGUACAAUAUGAUAAUUCUUGCAAAAGCAGUGUGCAAAGAGUAAUUUUGGAACCCAAAGGAGGGACAUGUAAUUGAGCAAGAGGAAGUAUUGUGAGAAAUUGUAGUGGUGUAUCUAGUUAAGGAGGAAUGUCUGGAAUAAAAACGUGGUGUCCACACUGAGAAGUCAAGUAGGAGUUAGACUGAUACAUGGAGGAGUGGGGAGGACCCAAGAAAAGAACAUGUAGUAUGUGAUUUUACAGUGUAAGAGCAAUGUGAUCUCAGUUAUUGACAUCUAAGAAGCAGUCAGUAAUGGAGCGCUAUAGUAUAAAAGCGAGUUGGUUAUCGAUUUAGCUACUUAUUUUCACUUGAUCCUAAGAGGCAACUGAGCCAGCAUCACCAUCAGCAAGACUUUUAGUGUGGUCUUUUUAAGGAAUGAGUUACAUUUUGAAGAAUAAGAUGGAAGGAGCACUGUAAAUAUUUGAGCUAGAAUGUGGCUCCCAUUCUGUUCAGGAAUCUUAUAUUGUUAAAUGGGAAUGGAGUUUCCAUCUUCAGGAGCAUGUGUAGACAGGGUUAUGAUGAUGAGUAUAUCACAGACAGGGACUGUUAGGAGUGUGUUCUGUAUUCUCAGAUGUUUAAAUACAAGCGAAGGCUGAUCUACCCAGGCUGUUGUCAGUGCCUUGCAUGUAUCUACUUUAGUCAGAGCUUUGAUUGGAUUAAGGCAGAUUCUCAGGCCUAGAACUCUUCUUAUUUGGGCUUUUCAUUGUGAGGGAUCGCAUCUAUCUAAACCACAUCCCUGGCCACUGCCUGUUUGCUAUUGGGUCUCUCUACAGGAAGUCAACACCUUGCUGUACACAUGCGGUGCCAUCCUCUCGGGUUCUCUUUCUACUGUAAAGUGUCUACCUAUGGAGAAGGAGUUCUUGUUUGCUGGAAAAGAGAUAUGUUUUCUUUAAAAACAGGUGUUCUUUUGGGUGAAGACUCAGAUCUAGUAGAUACAGUGUUUCCUUAGAUGAGUGAAAUACUACUCAGUUUAUACAGCACUUCUACCUUUCUCCUUCUCUGCUGAGGACCUUUCUUCCUUAUGUUUUAGUUGGCCAUCAAUAUAGUCUAGAUAUCGGAGGGAGGGGAUAGGGGACUUUUGUGAUAGCAUUUGAAAUGUAAAUGAAGAAAAUACGUAAUAAAUUUUUUUUAAAGUCUAGAUAUAAGCUAGAGCCUUUUGAGUUUUUUUUUUUUUUUUUUUCCUCAGUUGGGAAUGUGAUACCUAGUGGGGUCUUAGGGUACAUUUAGAAACAUAUUUUUGGAUAAACAGAUAUAAGCAGUUAUAAGCAGAUAACAGAUUCUUCACUUGUGCCUAAAUAGAAUACAGACAGUUCAAAAUAACUAGCUGGUCAGCACAUUUGGAAAGACGUGUUAUGUUCCCUAGAAAGUUCCUGCUCUGUGGUCAGCAGGUCAGUUAAACAGUGAGUGCAUUGAGAAUGGGUGGACAUUGGAUUGAGAGGGCAGGAAAGGCUAUGAGGAUAGCUUUCCUAAGCAAGGGUUUGCUGUUCUUCAUUAGAGCCAGCAGCACUCAUGGCUCCAGUAGCUGUCAUGACUGUUCUCUCAGCUUUGCUGAGCAGCCUGCCCUUCAGAAGUGUCCUUCUUCUUAAAGAACCUGUUUUAGUCUACAGCUGAGGAAUAUGAAAAUCCUCACACCAAGACAUUGCUUAAAGUAUUUCAUUCCUUUCUUGUUUGCCUGUCAUUCAAUUUAAAAUGUUUUAGAACGUCUCUGAGGCCCAUGGACACAGUAUUGUGAUAUAUUUACUCUGCAUCUGGUGACUGUAACUAAUGAAGAACUUGAGAGAUGGUCUUUGAAGACUGGAGUAGAAUAGUAUGUUGUUGUGUGAUCAGCCAUGUCAAGUAUGGUAAUACAUAACUGUUUCCUUCCUUCCCGCACCUUCUGCCUCUGCCUCCUGACACUCCUCAUGGCUGCUUUCCUUUACCGACUCUAAUGUCUGCUCCUCAGCCCUCACUUCUGCUUUACGUUGCUUCCUGCCUUUAAGUAGAGCUCCUCUCUCUUGUCUAGUUAUCAGUUUACAUUUUAAUGUUUUAUCUAUUUCUACACAAACAAUUCAUCAACAUAUUAAAAUAUAGUACUUAUUUAUCCUGUUUCUCCCCCUCCCCCCAAAGUAAAUCAAUCACCAGGGGAAAGUAUCUGCUCAGAAAUGUUUGGUAAAGGGAGGAAUGUAUACAUGAGGGCAUAUGCAUGCCACGUACAUACAUACAUACAUGCAUACAUACACACACACACACACACACACAUACUGCACACACAUACACAGAGAACAAAAAUCAUUGGGAAAAAUGAUUUACUUAAUUGAUGAUUUUGGAAAAAUUGGUUAGCUAUUUAGAGAAAAAAAUCUAUAGCUCCUGUGCAUAAGACAAAUGUUGUGUAUUUAUAUCUCUAUAUCUAUAAUAUAUCACAUAUAAUGUAUACUUACAAGUUAAUAUAUAUUAUUUCAAAUAACAAAUAAAUAUAUAUUUACAAGUUAAGUGUAAAAAUUAAACCACAAAUAUACAGCAGAAUACUCACUUGCUGUUGGGAUAGGAACAUUUUUUAUGAGAGUAUGAAGAGACUUUUGUAAGGCAAAAUGAUAUUGUUUUGUAUGUUUUAGUCAUCCAACAAGUAUUUAUUGGCCCACUGAUUCUUUUAGGAGGCUGUCAUAGAAAAACAAUGAAAAAAAAAAAAAAGGUUAAAGACUUUUCUCCAGUGAUGUCUGCCCCAGAAUUGUUUGUAGUAAUGUCAAAUUGGAAGCAACCAGAGUUUCCCAGUGGUGGGGGGAAUGGCUGAGUAAAUUGUGAUAAAUGUAUACAGUGGAGUAUUAUGAAGCCACUAAUAAUGUUUAUGAAAAUGUUUUAGUGGCACAGAAAAGUGCUAAAGAUAAAAUUUUCAUUGAGAUGAGUAGAAUGUCUGUGUAGAUAGAUCACUUAAUCUUCUUUUGCCUGAGUAUCUAACUUGCAAAGUGAGGGUAAUGUAUUAGACUCAUUGGAUUUUUAUGAGAAUUAAAUGAAUAAACUCUUUUAAAAUGCUUAGUCACUGCAAGUAAUAAGUGCUUCAUAAAUCUAACCUAUUAGUAUUAACACAUAGUGAGUGGUGACUUUCAUCUUUAUAAAGAUUCCCUUGAGUUAUUAAGCACAAUUUUUUGUUUUGCCAAUAGUGACAGGACAAGUAACUGCUACACACAACAGUUGGUAUCCUUAUUUGCAUUUUGUCACCAUAGAUACACUGCAAUUACAUCAUUCAGCCAUUGUAGUAUAUUGGACAAACAUUUUUUUCAGUAAAAAUACUUAUUUUAUUUGCAGAAUAGAAAGUUACUAGGUUUUAUUUUAAUGAGCUCCUUAAUUUAGAAGAGGUUUGCUUUGUUCAAAAAGUAGUGAUGUGUUGUUUAGAGACUGAAGUGUUUCUGUAGAAUGCAUUUGGUCUGUGUGUGAUUUAUUUUGCCUGCUGACCUGUUAAAAGAGAUGCCUGAUUACAGAAGGUCCAAGUAGCCAUCAGAGAAAAAUAGUGCUUUAAAAUAUUUCAAGAUCAAUCAGUAAACACUUAACUGAGUGCAUUUAAAGUACAUGGCAUUAUCUCCUGAUUCAGUAAACACCAGGCUUCUGCUUAAACUAUUAUUCUCUUCCUUUGUGGUUGCCUCAGGCCUUCUCUCAUUGUUUCUGCCUACCAAGUGUUUGCCCUGUACUAGCUCUAGGGAGACAGUUCUGAGCCAGGUCAUCUUGCCCUCAUGGAGCAACCAAGCACACCGUGACAGUACCUGCUAAUAUGUGUCUACAUGGUAGAAAUAGAGUGUGCUUAAGGAAAACAUAGGAUGGGCAAUCAAAAUACAAGGUGUUUGUAAAACUGACUAAGCAAAAAGUAAAUGGAGUGCUGGCUAAGUCUUAUGUCAAUUUGACACAAGCUAGAGUUGUCUGAGAGGUAGGAACAUCAAUGGGGAAAAUACCUCCUUCACAUUGGACUGUAGGCACGCCUGGAGAACAUUUUCUUAAUCAGUGAUGGAUUGGGGAGGCCCCAGCCAGUUUUGGGUGGUAUUGAGUUGGCAGUCCUGGUUCUACAAGAAAGCAGGCUGAGAAAGCCAUGAGAAGCAAGCCUCAUUCCUCCAAAGCACCAGCUCCUACUCCAGGUUCCCAUUCAGUUUCAAUUCCUGACUUGGCUUCCCUCAGUGGAUUCAGGACAAAUAAUCCCUUUCCUCCUCAUGACUUUUGGUCACAGCAAUACUAAUCUUGACUAAGACAAGAGGAUAGAAGAACACCAGGAUAUGACUAGCACCGGGAUCAGAUACUCCAUAGGCCACUAGCAGUGAGUGGGCACUGAUGUCUGCCUUCUAACUCUAGUGCUCACACCUUAUGUCACCUGUUUUUCCAGAAGGACAGAGACCUGGUUUUUCUGUCUUUUCUUUUCUGUUCUUCCACAAACAAGAAUCUCUAAGGGUGGCUUGUAGGUCGUGGGCCAGAGGGAGUACUUAGAGGCUACUACCGUUGUACAGGAGUGGGGGGCUCUCAGUAAAAAAGCUGCAUCGCCUCCUGACUGCUCAUGUGGGAUGCAACCAAUCAGCAGACCUUGGAGAGUCACAGCGGAUGUUUAAUAAGCACUUGAACAACUCAUUUAAAAUGUAGCUCGGCACAGGUCACCAGACGGUACACGAUGGACAGAGUCCUCAAUAAAAACAAAAGUUAAGUGAGCUAGGAGGCUGUCGACAGUAAAAGGUAGACAAGUUUAAAAAUGCUUAAAAGCUUUAGUAAAUAUCCUUUAAGAUAUAAGAAUCAAGCUCUUGGAAAUUAAAAUUAUGGUGCCUUGGCCUAUUCCUCCACUUCCACACCAAAAAAACAAAAACACAAAAAACCUAACUAAACAAACAAAAAACCAAAAAACAAAACAACAACAACAAAAAGACCACCUUCCAAAGACUUAGAACAGAAAGUCAACAAAAAUCUUUCUCAAAGACAAAACAAAUAAUGAAAUUGAAUAAUAGAAGAAAAUUAGGGACUCAGCCUGGAUAGUUCAGUGUCCAUGGGUAGAAAGUAGGUGCGAGAAAGCUAUCACACAGACAAUAACAUGCAUUUCCUAGAGUCUGAAUGGAGAGGGCCUGCCAACCACCCAGUACAAUGGAUAAAAUCGGCCUCAAAUGCAGGCAUGCCAUGAAGUUCAUGACCACAGGGACUGAAGAAAGAGAAGAUGCUGAAGCCCCUUAGAGAGAGGGAAAUGAAGGGAGGGUCAAAUGCAAAGGAUGUAGUCAGGCAGAAAGCAGACUUCUCAGAAGUGGUACUUACUUCGGGAGGAGAGUAGAACAAAGUCCUAAAUAUUCUUAGCAGAAAAUGAACUAUUCUAACUGAGCAUUCUGCCCCACCACUAUCAACCUGGUGUGCUGUUAGGAUAAUGGCAGUUUUAAACAGCUUCUUAAGAUUUGCCUUCCAUUAUCCAGGUUCCUGAAGUAAAGAAGAGUUCCAGGUAGCCAGCCCUGCAGCAGCUCCUGCAGGCCCCAGAGAAGAGGAAGGUAGCUUCAGAGAGGACUGGGGAAGAUGGGGAGGUGGGAACAGCAGGUGUCUGUAAGUGGGCUCUCCAAGCAGAGUACACACCAAGGACAAGGAAGCAAAUGAAAGGCAACUACAAGAUGACAGGAUGUUCUCCAAAGGGAAUAAAGCCACUAAGUCCUUCCGACGAGACCGUAUUUAAGAAAGAGUAGAGGCCCCACUCUCUAAUUUAACAAACUCUAUGACACACCUCAGAUAUUGGGGAAUACAAGAGCAGAACUAAACUUGUAUUUACCAUAAUUGAGAGUCAUGUUCUAAACUACUACAGUGACACACACACACACACACACACACACACAGAGAGAGAGAGAGAGAUUAAGUGAUUCUUUUGGCCAUUUAUUAGAGGCGCCCACGCUCCCCUUCUCCUUGUCCUAGACCUCUAGUUAGAAACUCUGAUUUGUUUUUCUUUUAGAGGAGGGGUGGGAGUGGAGUUGUCAUUGUUUGGUUUCCACUAUUGUUUUGUUUUUUACAUUUUUAAUUGGGUAAUAAAUACAUGCUUUAGAUUGCCUUGAGACAGACUUCUAGUCACGGGAUUCAUUCACCAAGGUUUCUUUUUGUUUUACACACAAGAUAGAAGUAAGUCACUUUCCUGGAGUGCUUUCCAUCUUCUUCCUUUUUUUCUCUCCCAAAGUUCAAGUGAUGGAGAUCCUUUCUUCUCUCCAUCCUCACAACCCUCACCCAUAUUCAAGCUGUCACAUGUGCCUUGGCUCCUGUCCCUUGGCAUAGUGAACUGCUGUCCUAGCAGCCUGACUUCACAGAUUUUCAUGUUACCCAGCUUAUUAUCAGGGUGGGCAUAUUCUAUUUUUAAUAGAUAUAAAGUAAUACAGCAUGAAUAAGUGCUUAUGAUAUAGUUAUAUAAAAAUACUGGGAAAUGUUCCUCUUAUUAUUCUCUCGUCUUGAAACUCAUAUCAGUUAAUUCUGGAAAUGAAGCCCACAUCAUGGGGCUUCAAGUUCUAAACAAAUGCACUGUGUCUUUCAUUGUAACAGCUUACCAAGACUGUCCUUCUGCCAGUUUUUAGAAAGGCUUGUCACAUGGCAAAUGGCCAAGCAGCCUUAGCCUUCACCAGCAGGUGAUGGAUUUUUCCAAAGGUCUCCUGGCACGGAGUAUUAUUUAAAAAUAGGAAGAUAAAUACCAGGUGAGACUGCCCAAAGAUAUGAAGGUGAUUGCAUCUAGGAACAGAACUGGGAGUUGAGGUUGGGGUUGGGCACCACUGCUUUUCAGUAUCAGUUAAAGUAUUAAAAAUUAAGGCAGUGAAUAAAGACAAGUGGGAGGAAGCACCUUUCAAAAUCAGAUGUCUUCAGAGCACAGGAGGAAAGACCAAGGGCAAGGGGGAGAUGUGACUCUCCUCACAUAAACACAGAUACGUUUUGUGGGUUCAGGCAUGGGACAUGGAAGAAGCCCUUGUCAGUUUGUCCUCUUUAGCUAACAUGCCCUAGCAUCUCUCGCUCCUGUCGAUGUCAGUGUCUCUGCUCUCUGGCUCUGUGGGUGAUAAGCUCAGUCCUUGUGUGCUUGCAGCUGUUCUGCCUUCUCCCUCAGUCUGCAGUGAAAGCGUAGGAUUCCAUGUUGACAUUUAUUUCUCCUCAGCACUCUGAAGAUGCAUUCCCUUUCCUCGGGCAUCUGUUACUGCUGAUGAGGAGUCUGUGUCUGUAGCUUAGGUAGUACCAGAGUCCUGCCAUGCACUGGAGCCAGAUGCAAGGUCAGGGAUCUGCCUUUUCAGAGUUGUCUUUCUCCAUGACCUGAGGUGGGUGCCUUCUCCAUGUCUACUUCCCGCUGGUGACAGGUCUGACUGGACCAGGAGUUUUGGCUCAAAGCUUUCUUCAGGGAGCCACUCAAGAUCUUUCCCUUCAUGGGCUCAGCAUCUUGACUUCUGCUUCAGGGUGUCUUCAGAUGCCCACAGCUGGAGUUUUCAGCUGCGUUUACAAUAAUGAUCUACUAACAGAGUGCUUGUUCUGUGGCAGAUUAGCUUAUUUUAACCUCCUAACAACCCAGUGAGGUAGUUACUAUGGUUACCGCAAUCAGAAGGUAAGUGAAGAAGCCAGGAUUAAAACCCUAUAGUGUGGCUUCAGAGCCCAUGCCCUUGUCCCAGAGCUACCCUGACACCUGUGUCUGCCUAUGGCCUUCAUGGCCUUAAACUCACAGCUCAGCUUUGUCCCCAGGUGACUCUUUUUGCAGAUGAGCUUGACUAUUGUUUGUUAGGUGUGUGCUCAUGCAUGUAUGUGUAUUAUAAACAUCAGUAUGUACAAAUGCAUGUAUGUACAAAUAUAAUGUCUUCUUCGCCUUUUCAACCCAUGUUUACUGACUAUCUGUGCCCUGGCUGCUUCUGUCAAGGUUGCCAUCCUGACCUGGCUGCCAUAACUGGUUCUGAAGUAGUGACCCUUCUGAAUGUUAUUUAGGAGCACAGAUAUUUUAUCUUAUUAUUUUAUCUUAGUUUUAGGAUUUUAUGGAAUUCCAUUAUGAAUCUUCAGACUGAAAAGGUCAGUCAGCCCAUUUUGCUGCUUAUUGGCAGGAUUACAGCCAAACGAAGGACAGCAUUUUCUGUUUUUAUUAGCAGGGGUGCAGCCUCAUUUAUUAUUUUAACCUAGUAAAACUUCCUUCUGUGGUACAGAUUGCCCUUAAAUUAUUAACUAAUUAUUGGCCUACAGAACUAUAAACAGGAUCCUAGGUUAUUUGCUGUGAGCUGGUUAUAUCCUGCUUAUCAGUAUCAUUCUAGUUUCUCUUGUUGAAAUAUUCUGGAUGUGAAGUAGGAAGAAAAUUAGAAACAAAAUAUAUUUAUUUGCUAAAAUAUCAUAGGAUUUACAAGUCUGUUCAUUCUGUAAUUGGCCAAAUAAUGUUUCCAGGAAUGCUGAGAAUUUAUCAAGGCAUCGGAUAUGUUUGGAAUAAAUGCUUGUGCAAGCCUGUGUGCUCAUACACACACACAAUGAGUGCACGUUCAUUCCUUGUGAUUUCAGCUGCCUGGGCCCUCCUGGUUCAUUCCCAAAGAGGACAGUUGUCCAUAUUGCUGCUGAUGGUAGGGAUGCUCAGUGCGGCGCAGUAGAUAAGGCCCUCUCAGAAUCAGGCUGUGCCCCUGAUGACAUUAACUGGAGACCAGUGAUCUGUUCUUGUGUUGCUUGUCUGGAAGCUCUUAUCUGUAUGUAACACCAAACCCCCUAGCAAACACAAGGCCUCUUUUUUCCAAAACUGGGCAAAGACAUAAAAGCCAUUUUUUUUCAUUUGUGUGUGCUAAGUCACUCUCCUUUUUUCUCACUAUCAGUCUGUCUAAAAACGCAUUUGGGGUUUUCCAUAUAUUGUUCAGAAUUGGUCCUGGCAGCAAUGGAAUGAAUCAGAAAUGUUGUUUGUGACAAUUUACAGAAUUUUUAUUCACAAGAGUAUAUACUAUUAACAACAAGGCUCACGUAAAGAAGAAUAAAUAUGUUGUGAUGCCUACCCCCUAGGGACUUGAUAACAGUGUACACAGCACACAGCACAUAUUGUGCUGGAUAUUCAUUCUUGAAUCCAAGCCUGCAGGUUGCACCAAAAAGAGGUCUUGCCACUCUGAAAAUGAUGAUGCAAUGCUUUUGUAAAGUACUUUGGGUUUAAUUUAUUUUUGAAAUCCUAAUGACAUCUAUUUAAAGUUAGGUAAGUCAGAAGUAUUUCUGCUCUCUAAACAUAGCAGGUAUCACUAAUAGCUUGUUUUGAAGGGUCUAGUCAGUUUAGAGAGACUUCACUAGAUCUAGAGAGGACCAUGAUAGGCCCUUCUGACCUGUAAUUCUGAAUGUAAUCACAAAGUUGUUCUUAACUUAAAGCUGAGACACAAAAUAGCAAGUCAGGAAAACAUUGUAGAAAUGAGUCUUGGGCACACUGCAGUCCCAUCUGUUUAGUUCUAUGUCCAUUCACACUUAGGUGAUACUUAUCUGGCCAAGCUAGAGGACAAAGUGUGCCAGUGUUCUGUUAACUUUUUUUUUCCAUUUCUGUGAUUUUCUUUAAUGAAAUCUGUGGAAAUUGGAGUUAGGUGGUGUCCUCAGACUUUAUUCCUGCCCAUCACUCUGAGUCCCUGUUACUUUUGUGUUCUAGGGAUGGAGAGUGUUGCCUGUAUCCUUUAUCUCUAACACAGGUAUGUGUGAGCACAGGCUUCUGAGAGUGGAGGUUCUCCUCAUCGCUUAUGCUUGUCCAAUGAUCCAAAAUUUCCUAGUGCCAUACCUGGCUGUCUCAUGGUGUUGAGGGACUUUUGCCUCAUUGGGCUGGGUGACCUCCCCUUUGUUCAUGAGGAACACUUGUCUCCUUUCUUAUUUGGGUUUUCCCACCUCUCAGUGGGUUCUUGGAAGCCUUCCCCUUCAGAAGCAUUCUCACCUCUACCGCCCAGUCUUCCUGCACCAUUUGCUGUUGUGUGUGCUCUGUGUUAUGCCAAUGACUUUACUUGAUCAAUGUGUUGGUUUCAUACAGUUGAUUGGUCAACCCUUUGUGUGUUGUUCAGAGGAUCAUCUGUUUAAGGUUCUGAAAAAGCAGUUCAUGGGUCUUUAGGGACAACUUGAUUGAACCUUGUUUAGAAAAUAUAUAUGUGUGUAUAUAUGUAUGUGUGUUUGUAGGGAGAAAAAGCAUGAAAGAAUUUUACAAGCACUUAAAACUUGAUAUUUUAAACCUAUUUAUGGGUCUCUUUCUAAAACACAUUAUGUGUUUUCUCAACUUUUCAAUAGAGUAUCUUGAACAUAAGGUAAUCUUGAUGUGAUUGCUUAAGGCUAUCGGCAACAUCAGUUACUGCUGAGUUGUAAUAUAAUGGUGCCUUGAAGAGCUAUUGAGGUGUGCAAGGCUAUCUGAUCACACAGUAAAUGUUAGCAGUAGCCUAUUCUUUUAGACUUCACUGUACAGUGCUUGCAGCCCUUACCUUCCACCCUCCUCCUCCUUUUAAGCUACUGUCAGUGUAUUUGACUCUGGAAGCUGUUCCUGGCUCAUUUUCCACUUCUGGAUUCUUAUUUCUGAUCUCCACUAGCCCAGAAAUCCAGAUCAUUAUGAUUGUUGGAGUAAAAUGCAAGCAAAGCCCUAUGUAGAGCUUUGUCCUACAGGUAAAAUAUGCAGAUAGUGCAGGAACCAAUCUUGAAGCUGCAGAUCAUGAGAGCAGAGUAGGAAGAAAUGCAUAGGUCAUUUGGUCUACUCCUAAUGUACAGAUGAAGGAAGUGCUGUUGUGACUGGCCCAUCUGUGUUUGCCCAGUCACCCACUCAGGUCACUCUCACUUUAAUAAUUGGGUUCUGUAUUAGUCAGGGUUCACUAGAGGAGCAGAACUCUAAUAGAGUGAAUAUAUCUAAUGAAGGAGAUGUAUCUGAUUGGCUUGCACAGUUGGAUCUACGUAGUCCAAUUGUGACCGCCUUUACAGUGGAGAGGCUGAGAAACUGGUGACUGCUCAGUACACAGGGCUGGGUGCCCCAGCUCUUGCAGCCUGGCACUGCAGGCCUGGGUAGCUCCUGCAGAGCCCCUCCCUGGUCUUCAGUCCAUGUUGGAAGAUGGAAGAAGCUGUGUCAUGACAUCAGUAAAGAGUAGCAGGAGUAGUAACAACAGGGUGGAUGGACUGAGCAGCUAGGAGUGACCAUGGGCAAGUAGGAGCAGCACACUGUGCCUCAGACCUCCUCAUGUGGGGGCUGUGGGGGCUGCUAUGGAAAGCGCUGUGCCCCACACCAGUUCAUGCUUCAGGCAAUACUCUCACAGACCAAUCAGACAAAGUCAUUUAGUUGAUUAUAGUUCUAAUCAUGUUGACAACCAAGAUCGACCACCCCAGCUUCUAAUCUGUGCUCUUCUAUAAUUGGAGUUGAAAUAACUUUGACUUAUGUAGGUGGCUGGUGUGUGUGUGUGUAUGUGUGUAAUUGUGUGUGUGUUAAAUCUCAAACAUGAAUACUAGUAACAGGUGUGUAUAAUGUUUAUCGAUGUCCUCUGAUUUGCUUAUAUACAUAUACAGCAUUGACUGCCCAGCAAUGACCUUGUUAAUGCUUGUAUGUGCCAUGUGUGAUGGCCUCUGGUUAUGAGACUUAAACCCAGAGAAAGAGAAAAAAAGUGUGCUUAGAAGAAAGGAGAUCUAACCCAACUAACCACAAAUCCCAUGACCUGUGCGUUGCAUACAACUGUGACUUCAGCUUGCCAGUAUUCACUGUUCAAAUCAUGACAAUAACAAAAAUUUAUUUUAGAUUUCUUUAUUUUUGUUUCAUUUUGGGUAUUCUUUAUACUCUGUUCUGGCUUAUUGAUUUUUCUCUUGUUAUGCCUAUCUUUAACUUUUUAAAAAUUUUACUGUAAAUGUCUCAUUCGUGAAAAUUUUAUAUCUUUCAAAUAUCUUGUUUUUCUGAAAAUAAUGUCUUUCUUAAUAUGUUAGAAUCUUGAUUUGUUCAAGAACUUUAAAUCUACUUAUUUUAUAGGCUGUGUUUAGUAAUUAUAGUACUUGAAAGCACCUAGAUGACCUUACUCUGACUUUUUUUUUUUUAAACUAAUUCUGGCUAAAGUGAUUGCCUUCUAUGUCUUGUAAGUUUGGGUGAUGAAGGGCUGAUGAGAGGGAUCCAUUAGAGGUUUGCUUGAGAGUGAGCCCUUUUAGAGCCCUGCUUCAUUGGCUACUUUCCAGUGCUCCCAUCGCUAUGGCACACUUCAUUUAUCUUUCAGUUUGAGGAUUCAUGGAGCACAGAGUUAGAAAAUUUCACCUGAGCUUGUUUGAGAGCAGCCCAUUAAUCCUUAGGGGUGGCUCCUGCUAAAACAGAACUCAAGCUAAGACGUGACUGAGGUGGAAACUGCACACAGGCCUUUGGGGACACUUUAGAUAUAAACUGUAGCAGUGGCCUUUCUUAUCUCACCCUUAGUGAGUCAGUCCCUUAAGUGCUAUAUAGAAAUGAUGUCACCUCCUUCCUCGGAACUGAGUGGAGCAGCUGCUCUGGUGUUUGCAGCAGUGAAGAUUUGGAGUUCAUUUUCUCCUCUGUCCUCACCCUGAGAACCUGGAGGGACCCUGUCAGCUUUGUUCAGAUGACUCCUGGGUCUAUAGAGCCCAAGGCACCUCAGGGUUUCAGGAGUCGGCUCCUUUAUGGCCAUACCCUACUCUGGGCAACAGCCUGGGCCCCUCAGGUUCAGUUUUUAGCAAGAAACUGUAGGUAUUGUAUCUAGGAAAGGCUUUUGUCUCAUUUUCAUAUUCUAUAUUCCAUAUUAGGGUUAGGGUUAUUGAUUUCUCUUUCUCUUAGAAUAUGUCCUCCAACAAGAGACAGGUUCUGAACUGUUUUAGGUUAACUUUGUCUACACAGCACAAAAUGUCUAAUAGUAGAAACAGAGGUAAGGGUGUAUAGAAAAUAAAAUAUGGGCAUAUUACCAGAGAUGCUGGGAGUGCAAAGCUUAAGGGUCUUCUGGUGAUAUAAAUAUGUAAUAGGUGAAAAAAAGCUGAUAGUGUUUUGUGUACAUGUCUGACACUUUGGUAGCUCACACAGGCUUUGUUCUGUUGAUUUAUGCGGAGGCCUGUCAUAAAAUGCAGCCCGAGGCCAUGCUGCUGGGCGCCUCUGCUUUCCCAGAGGCAGUUCCAGAACUAAAACCUUGUUGCAGACCUGGGAAGCACUUCCAUGCCAGUGUAUGGCCGGUCUUGGUGGUUGCUAUUGAGCUUCUUCUGUGACCUUGGGGUGCAGCGGUGGGGUGGUGGGCAUGGGGGCAGUGAGUUGUUCUAGGUAGAUUUUAUAGGAACUAGCAAGAGUGUCCUAGAAGAUUAACACAAAUUAUCUUCCCUCUGAGCGGUGAGAACUGCAGUCAGGUGGAGAGA